AUUGAACGCUGGCGGCAUGCCUUACACAUGCAAGUCGAACGGUAACGGGCCUUCGGGUGCCGACGAGUGGCGAACGGGUGAGUAAUGCAUCGGAACGUACCUUUCAGUGGGGGAUAACGUAGCGAAAGUUACGCUAAUACCGCAUAUUCUGUGAGCAGGAAAGCAGGGGAUCGCAAGACCUUGCGCUGAUUGAGCGGCCGAUGUCAGAUUAGCUAGUUGGUGAGGUAAAGGCUCACCAAGGCGACGAUCUGUAGCGGGGUCUGAGAGGAUGAUCCGCCACACUGGAACUGAGACACGGUCCAGACUCCUACGGGAGGCAGCAGUGGGGAAUUUUGGACAAUGGGGGCAACCCUGAUCCAGCCAUGCCGCGUGAGUGAAGAAGGCC
rnacentral:rRNA from 1 species